AGUGGAUAAUAUGUGAAUUACGUAGUGUAAAAUUAUGGGUAGACAGGAAGAGAGGAAGGGGAAAAUGAAGCAAGAGAUAAUAUGGAUGUAUAAACCGAGGAUCAUGCAUGAUACUCCUCCUCUUCAUUCAUGAUCCCCCAUCUCAUUUGGUAAAUCAUAAAGGUCCUCAGAGGUGAAGAGUGGGUGAGUCUUUGCUGGACUGCACUCCCCUGAAGGAUUCCGGUACGACCACAUCCCAACGCCCGCCCACGUGGGGUUGGUGCCCUGGGUCAGCUGACAUGCAAUGACCCCUGACCAUGCCUCCUGCCAUGGAUGAGAGAGAAAAUGAAGGAGGCAGAAGUGCUGAGGGAGACAGUUGGCUGAGGAGGUGAAGGGGAUGCCAACACUCUCCCUGUAGUAAUCCUCGGCUAUCCCCGCUAUCGAGCACCUGCUGUACGGCCCCAAGUUGCUCGCCUCCCUGCAGAAGGCACAGGUGGAGCUAAGUGGGGAGGCAGAGGUGGGUGAUGUAGGUGGUCUUGGGCAUCCUGGAGGUGAGUCGGAGCAGGAGGACCUCACCCACACCCACCAGCCGAGUCCCGCCCACUUGCCGCCCCUCUUCAUUGCCACUCCACACCCGCGGCAGUCCCCCCACCCGCCGCCAUGACCCCAUCACCACCCACACCAACGACUCCUCCACACUGAAUGAAGAAGGAAGUGAGGAUGGCAAGGUUGCCCCAGCCUGCCACGGUGCAGAUGUCCUUCUCCUGCGGGUAGAGGUGGUUCGCCAAGCACACUGGGCGCACCCACCUGUAGGAUGUGGGUCACCAGCGAGGACUGUUCAUAUGGGGACCAGGAGUUGCGGCGCAGCAUGCCGGCGUGCACCUCAUACACAGCUGACUUGGGCCUUGAUAACGGAAGGCAGUACAGCAAGUGGAAGGCAAGGUGUGGUUAAGACAGCUCUCCUCUUCUCACCUGCCUCUCUCCUGAAGCGGCCACCUGAUGAGUUGUCGCAGGUGACAGCCCCACAGGUGAUGUGGACCCAGUGGCCUUUACACAUGGAGGAGAAGUCAAAGCGUUCCCGGUGGAGGUCGUUCAGGUCCUGCUGGAUGUGGCCGCACAGGGGCGCCCAGCCAACCUUCUGCCGCACCUCCACGUACCCACUGCUCCUCAGGGCCAAGUACUUCUGGAGAGGGCCGAGAGCAGACUUUGCAAGGUUACUUUUUGCUCAUGAAGG